rnacentral:rRNA from 1 species
GCCAGCAGCCGCGGUAAUACGGAGGGUGCGAGCGUUAAUCGGAAUUACUGGGCGUAAAGCGCAUGCAGGUGGUUUGUUAAGUCAGAUGUGAAAGACCCGGGGCGUCAACCUCGGAAUAGCAUUUGAAACUAGGCAGACUAGAGUACUGUAGAGGGGGGUAGGAAUUUCAGGUGUAGCGGUGAAAUGCGUAGAGAUCUGAAGGAAUACCGGUGGCGAAGGCGGCCCCCUCGGACAGAUACUGACACUCAGAUGCGAAAGCGUGGGGAGCAAACAGGAUUAGAUACCCUGGUAG